AGUGAACGCUGGCGGUAGGCCUAACACAUGCAAGUCGAACGGCAGCACAGUAAGAGCUUGCUCUUACGGGUGGCGAGUGGCGGACGGGUGAGGAAUACAUCGGAAUCUACUUUUUCGUGGGGGAUAACGUAGGGAAACUUACGCUAAUACCGCAUACGACCUACGGGUGAAAGCAGGGGAUCUUCGGAACUUGCGCGAUUGAAUGAGCCGAUGUCGGAUUAGCUAGUUGGCGGGGUAAAGGCCCACCAAGGCGACGAUCCGUAGCUGGUCUGAGAGGAUGAUCAGCCACACUGGAACUGAGACACGGUCCAGACUCCUACGGGAGGCAGCAGUGGGGAAUAUUGGACAAUGGGCGCAAGCCUGAUCCAGCCAUACCGCGUGGGUGAAGAAGGCCUUCGGGUUGUAAAGCCCUUUUGUUGGGAAAGAAAAGCAGCAGGUUAAUACCCCGCUGUUCUGACGGUACCCAAAGAACAAGCACCGGCUAACUUCGUG
rnacentral:rRNA from 1 species